UGUAUCUGUAUCAGGAGCACAACAUAUUUGAAGAUAAAUAUGAAUGGGGGGAGACAAAUAAUUUGGGACAAUGAAAAAACUCAAAUUUACAGGUCUGCCUCUUUCACUAGCCUAAAAUCUUAAAACAAGGCAAUGAAGCAAGAGGCUGAUCCGAUCCAAUUGUAUUUCAAUGAAAUAACGAUCAAAUCAUCGCGCAGAAGCUCUGGAAUCUCUCUCUCCCCCUUUAGUGGUUGGGCCGAUGAUGGUUGCGUUAGAUGCAGAAGGGUCAUGACCACUGCAGCACUAACAGUCAGACUUGUUCAGUCACCAAUCCAAACUAACAAAGGAAAAACUUAAAUAUGUCGGUCAGUGAUAUGAUGCCUUCAACUCGCUUGCUGCCAGCUUCAACAAUAACAAGCCGCCGGACACCUGAGUCCAAGUCAAGAGGGCAUAAAAUUUUAAGCACUGCGGUCGUUGAAAUAAACUGAACUGGAUAUCCAAGAAGAAAGAAAGAAAAAAAAACUGGUGCUAAACCGAAUCAACAAAAAGUGACACUUAUGGGUUCGACAAUUUUAGUCAAUUUUGCUUAGGUUUUAAGAUUUAGGAGAGAAGAGCUGUUUCAGAAAAUAGCAAACAACACUCUAGCGUGGAGCAAGAAUCUACAAAGUGUAUGCCUAUUUACUUCGUGAUAACAUUUUCUAUUUUCAUUUGAAGCUGUGUUAACUUCACUAGCUAACAAGGAGAUGAUAGAGUCUUAAGUGAAAAUUUGUGUGCAUAUUUUAGAAACAAUGGAAAUGCCAAAAGAAUUGUUUUAAUUAUUUCGAGAGAUGCAUCAUCUCUAGCUAACAUUUCAUCUACUCUCCAUUACAAUAGUUCACUUCAAGAGUCUCACAUCUUCUUGUUAGCAAGUUAAAAUGAACAUGUUUUAAAAAUUGUUUUCGCAUAUUA
rnacentral:lncRNA from 1 species